ACUAUUUUAGUAUAAAUUAAGUACAUCUAAUUUCCAAUUAGAAAGAAAUUAAAAUAGUA
rnacentral:tRNA from 1 species